AUGAAUGCCCGGCGCCUUUGGCAAGCAAUGUCAAACGAAUGGGAUCUACCGGAUGUAACAAAAAUCCUCCCCCCGGGCGAGGAAUGGUUCAUCCAACUUGCCUGCUGCCUAGAUGAGCCGAUGAGAGUCAGACUUAUGAUGCUCCUAUGGCAAAUAUGGUACCUACGCAAUGAACUUAUUCAUGCAAAGCCUGCACCGCCCCUUGACGUUUCCUGCAGAUUUUUGGCGAGCUACCUUGCAUCACUUGAUUCCAUUGCUAUGGAUCCAGAAGCUAAAGCAUCUAAAGGAAAGGCCCCAGCUACAUCCUGCUACCCGUUGUUGGUGAACACUUGCAACAAAAGGGCCAUUUCUAAUAUCCCGUGGUUCCUGCCGGUGAUUGGUCGUGUGAAGCUGAAUACUAUGGGUCUGUACUCAACGGACAAGGUGGAGCUGGAAUGGUUCUAA
rnacentral:rRNA from 1 species